UGUUGUUAUAGUCUUUCCCUACUAGGAUGGAUGCUGUGUUUGCGUUAUAAAAGACAGACAGUGGCCUAAAAACUCCAUCGGUCCGUGUAGCCAACGUUGCCAGCGUUUUCCUACCCUCGGAAUCCACUCAUAUUACAGAAUGGGUAGACCAUCCGAAGACCAGCACAUGACUGACAGAUGUAGCAUACGGACUUUGUAGCUGAGUGUCCUUGAAACGUUCAGGAGUUAGUCUUUAAUGUCAAAGGUAGACACCCCAUGAGAGAGAAAAACAAGAUAUAAUUCGAAUGGCACGCAGUAUGUAAACAGCACGAACUGAAAGUGGGUAAAUCCUACUACAUCAUAGCAAAGGACUGGACUACUUUCACUGACGACCAAUAAAAAGCCAGAGUGAGGUUUGAACUUGCAGGCACGGCACUCGUGAUUGACCCGGAUUACAAACCGAUUAUUGGUACCGUUAUGAAGAAAUGUGUUCAAGAACUGACAAAAGGACCGAGGAUGCAAUACUUAAGAGGCCAAGCUCAAGUAUUGCGUCUCACGUGCAACUGUGCUUUUGUGUGUGUGUGUGUGUGUGUGUGCAAGACAAAACUUAAUGUUGAAUUCCCUUUUUCAGCAGACAUACAUCCUUUAAAAUAUUUGCGUCAUUUACUAAAAUGUUUAAAUAAGUUCAAUAAUUUGAAUACUAUCAAAGAUAAUCCAUUCAGACUUGGGCUACUUUCUUAUGGGGAGAAGACACUUGUUUAGGUCUAGCUAGAUAUCUCUCUCAACAAUAUUUUUAAAGUUAUGCCCCUUUUUAACUUAAAAUAUGUCGUUAGAUUUCUAAAACUUUAACUCUAUAAAAGAUAUUUAACUCAAACUUGGAAUACGUCUAAUGGCAACAAG